UGUAUUGAAUGAUGUUAUUCGAGGAUUUGAAGAGAAAACGGUAUUUACCGUCCUCGUGUUUACACUUGUGUAGAAUGACACCGUUUCUUGUCUGCAGUUGUCGGUAUCGCUUCUCGGCCUUUUGGCUAAGAUCAAGUGUAGUAUCUGUUCUUAUCAGUUUAAUAUCUGAUACGUCCCCUACCCGGGGACCAUAUAUUAAAUUGAUUUUUGGAGCAGGGAGAUGGAAUAGGGGCUUGCUCCGUCCACUCCACGCAUCGACCCGGUAUUGCAGUACCUCCGGGAACGGUGCACCCCCUCUGUACUGUUAAAGAAACGUUAUAGCUCUACAUUUCUCUAGCUCUAAUACAACACUUAUGUUUCUGUGUCCGGAUUAUUUCUGGACCUGCUUUAUUUCAGGGCUUUAUGAUCUCUUUAUAAUCACAGUUCACUACAGAGAAGGGGGAUUUAAGGGGGUUUAUUUAAAGCCAGUGUGGUUUUAUAGAAGGUAAUCUAUAACUCGUUUACACGGUUAUAAUCAGUGUUGUGCUAGUUACUAAGAUAAACUAACUAGUUACAGUAACGCGUUAUUGCCCAACGCUGCUUAUAAUCACAAUCUCUCUCUGCAGCGGACAUACAACUUGUGACACACGGAACUAUUUAUCCGGAACUAUUUAUCGGGAAUAUGGCGCCCGGGAUCAUAUUAGAGGUCGGACACAGAAACUUUCUCUCGUUUGUGCUUAUUUAACAAUCUUUGUUCAAAUAUUCUGAUUAUAGUCACCUGGAAUUGUGUGACCUGGGUAUAGAUCAAGAUUCAAGAAUUACAGGCCUUCACAGAUAUCAGUGCAACAGGGGACAACUUUCUUUACCAGGAGACAACAGGAACUGAAGAGAAGUUACAAGUAUACACGAAAGCCCCACACAUCAAUACCUGCUGUUUGAUUCCCAAUACCCAUUGCAGUACCAAUUAGGAGUCAUCAGGACGCUACACCACAGGGCAGAAAGCUGUUAACUCGACCCAGGAUUUGUCAGCAACAUGUAUGCAACAUGCAAAUGAUUGAACUAGAUAAUUUUUGUGAAAGUGUCCAGUGUUCAUGAUAAUGGUUGGCCCUUUAUUUGGCCCAACUGAGGGAUGUCAGGUUUCACCUGCAGUCUAUACAGUAUCUGUGUGUACUUUUUAUAUAUAUAUACAUAAUGUACACGCGUACAUAUACCAGGUGUUGAUUUGUAUUCAGUAAUAGAUUUAUUGGGCAACGUUUGAAAUUACAGCAUCAUUGAACAUGAUAAAGAAUACGUCAAAAAAACAAGAAACACAUGUACUGGUGUAUUAUACAAAAUGAAGCAAGAAAUGUCUAAUUGUAAUUAUAGUUUACAAAAAAUUACUAAAUAUGGUGUACAGCAGAAUACUGGUUACUUUAUUUCUCCACAUAACUUUAAUAAACAUUGUGCACUAACUGGGAAAAUGUGUACACACACUAGGGCUGUAAGAGAUCAUUACUCUACAGAGCAGAGAUUGUGCACACAGCGCAUCGAAACUGACCAACUCUCACAAACUGUCCAUCCUGUUGGGGGAAAUAGGAGAGCUGCAUUUUAGUGGGACAAUAUGGAUCUGCCUGCCACAACCGAGGGACAAUUCUGGACCAAUAACAGGACGGAACUGUCUACACUUAACUAGUCAAGAAUAGCUGAAAGGUCCCGCUGGACGAUAGUGGAGUGAGCCUCUUCAAAACACCUGGGGAGUCAAAAACCUUGUACAAAAAAAAAUAAAGUUCAGUUUUUACGGUGUGAACAUUUAUACAAUAUAUUAAUGUAUGGACUUUGUGUAUUUACAGAGGCCAUUGAUGAGGUGUGGGCAAGUCAGCAGCCACACCUGGAGUGCACCGAUACCACUUUUUCUCUUCUGAUCCGAUUCCGAUACCAGGGAUGAUCUUGUUGCCGCUGCCGUCAUCCAGAGGGUCAAGAUGGCUAAGCAUUACACGCCGGCUCAACAAGACAUCGGUUCUCAGCACAACAGGCUGUUGUACUUACUGGUAAAACUGCUGUGGUUGCGAACUCCUCGAUCAUCUCGCACCAACCCGGAGAAGAGCGCGAUCUUGAAGUCAUACGAGAGAAUUCAACACCGGAUUUUGGUGGAUGAUCCAGUCCUGUGUAAAGCAGGCAUUCCUCUUCUAAAAAUCAACAUCAAGACAGUGCAGGACUUUAUCCGUCAUCAAGAGAGGCUCCUUUACCCCAUGCUACAAAAUGGUCAUUUACCAUCUCAAAUCCGCCGGACUACCCCCUCAUGCAAUAUGUGCCCACACCUAGCACAGCAGGGACGAAGCUGUUGAAGGAGAGGACCAACAUAACUAUGCCACUCUCACGCUCUAAUUCACCUUCGCUCCUGCCACAGUUGGCGAGGAAAACCCCGGCCUCUCGGGAUCACCAGACCUGCGCCUUCUGUCUUUUCCUCCAUAGCCAUCCCUGCUAUUUCGGGCCCCUCCACACAUCAUGUAAUGCUCUUCGGUCAGGUACCAGUUACUGUUCCAGCCUCAUUACUCUCUUUGGCAGUGCCCAUAUUGCCUGCCAGUCAGACAUGCACAUCACACAGCACUGGCACAUCUGUCAGCUGGGCAAGAUCUACUUACUAUAACCGUAAGAGGAAACACCCAUCAGAAUUAGGAGCUAAACUGUCAAGGGUGCAAAGUCUCCCAGUUUGUACACUCUGUGGCCAACCAGCCCAGGGACAUAAAGAAUACAAAAACAUUUUUUCUGUCCUAUAAAAAUGAUGUCACUUUCCAGAGGGCUGGAAAACAGGGUGUUGGAGAGUUAUGAAGAGUUUCGCAAUUGUAGACCAGAUGGUAGCUGAAGAACAGUAGAGAAUAAUGUUUUUAAAAUGAUUUGUGUGCGUGUGUGUGUGUGUGUGUGUUAGGGCUGAAAUGAUUCGAGUAACUUGAUUUACAAAAAUUACAAGAACUUAGUGUAUGAUGAUGAUAUUUUCUCAGUAUUAUCAAUAAUUAUUUUCACAUCCUUUCCGGUAAAACAUCACAGCUUCGUAUGGACAGAUAUGUGCGGAUAGCUACUUCAUGCUCCACUGAGCAAGCAGCUGAGUUUUCAGACAGCAUUUUAAACAUGUUUGUCACAGACAUGCACACACUGUCCAUGGUGGAGGAUGUUGCCUUUAAAGUGAUGAAAUUUUAUAUUUAUUGCCCCCCCUUUACUGUUAUAUUAAAUUUACACCCAUGCUUGUAA